UACGGGGGGAGCAAGCGUUGUUCGGAAUUACUGGGCGUAAAGGGCCAGUAGGCGGCCAACUAAGUCCGACGUGAAAUCCCAAGGCUUAACCUUGGAACUGCGUCGGAUACUGGAUGGCUUGAAUUCGGGAGAGGGAUGCAGAAUUCCAGGUGUAGCGGUGAAAUGCGUAGAUAUCUGGAGGAACACCGGUGGCGAAGGCGGCAUCCUGGACCGGCAUUGACGCUGAGGCGCGAAAGCGUGGGGAGCAAACAGGG
rnacentral:rRNA from 1 species